GGUCAUUUCAUAUAUCAAAGAAGAAAAAACCGAGUUGGAAGGUUGUUAAGUGUCCCAAACAAAAUGGGGUGGUAGAAUGCGGGUACUAUGUUAUGCGAUUCAUGCGGGACAUAAUUUCUGCGAGGAGUACUUCGAUUGUAGAUGUCAUGAAAAGUUUACCUCCUACGUACUGUCAAGAUGAAAUCGAUGAAGUUAGAUUAGAAUUGGCGGAGUUCCUUUCUAAGCACGUACAUCGUGCUUAGCACCAGAUUAGGAAACAACAUUUUUUGAAGUAUUUUGUGGGGUUUUUUUGUUAAUAUAAUUUUGUUAAACCCGAACGACACACAAGAAAAUGUUAAGCGCAUUCUUUUGAACAGACUUAAGCAUGAAAGGGGAAGAGUUCGAUAUAUAUGUGACUGGCUCAUGGAAUUUUGGUAUUUGGUGCCAUACUGCAUUGUGAUAUGAAUCUUCUUGCAAUCAAAUAACUGCUGAAGUACUGCGGUCUUCCAAAAUAUGGACAGCUUUGUCAUACACAUGGGAUAAUGCUGGGCACUUCAUUCAAGUAAGACGGUAUAGACCUACAUUGUCGCAAACCAACAAUGAAUGGUAUGUCAAUACAUGUAUGGCUUGCACAUGAACCCUUCAAUCCCUGUAGCACUUUUUUUGUUCCUGAACCUGAGUAGUUGCUGUAAUCUUCCUAUUCGUUUUAAUAAUUUGAGAGAAUUGGUACAUGAUUAUUCAUAGUUCA